rnacentral:lncRNA from 10 species
GAGAAAGAAGAGGUCAGAUGAUCUCUAUGUCCAACCCAUCCCUGCAGGUCCAGAGCCGAGGAACAGGUGAGGCCACUCGAUGGGGAUACUGAGGCUGAGAAGGGGCCUCACAGUGCCAGGUGAGUGGCCAGUCAGGCAAUAGGGAACUCGACUCCCUCACAGUGGGGAUUUGUUUUAGUCACCUUUAUAUCUUAGGACUUAGUAAAACGCCACCCACCAAGAAAUAUCAAGACUAAACAAAGCCAUGAGUGAGGAGCAGGCAGCAAGUUGGAAGCCAGAGGAGCAGGUAAAAUCAGGCACUAACAUUAUAGAUGGGACCAAAGCAAGUGGUUUCUUUAAAUUUUUUUUUUUAUUUUUCAUUAUUAUGGGUGCGUAAUAGUGUAUAUAUUUAUAGGGUCCAUGUGAUGUUUUGAAACAGACAUGCAAUGUGUAAUGUAAUCACAUCAGAGUAAUUGUGGGUAUUAAUAAAAAGAUCUUGAAAGGCUGAAGUUGGGGGUGGGAUAGUGGUCCCAGAGUGAAUCUGGUAGGCUUCAUUUUUUUCCUGCUCCCUCCAGGGUCGGGGCUGUGGCCCUUAAGCAGCAGCUCACCCACCAUCACCCCCAGGCUGUACCUAUGUCAGAGACUUCGAUAGCGUUUAGGAAGGACGCUCUGGCUUGCCCCCAUCGAUACUCAGGCAUCAACUCAUCCAUGGUGGCACCAUGUUUACAGGGCCACCAGUGGCCGGGGGUGUCUUGGGAAGACCAGACCAGUGGAAGCCCCAGUUAAAGGUUGAUAUUGAGUAUUUUACCCAGUUGCAAGCCAAGAAGCACUAUGAACAGCAUCUUCAUUUGCUGCAGCCACAUCUGACCUUGGUUCCCAUACCAAGUUGCCACUUCCUGACUGUAACCAUUUGCGGCUAUACCAGAAUCUCACAAUGUGCCCCGUGAAAAAAGACAAGGAAAUGCAGCAGUCCAAGCCCCUAACUGGAGGAGGCUCCUGACUCUGGGGACUUACUCCUUCACUCAUCUCCUGCCAGCAGCAGAUGGAGCCGGUCUGGGCUAUGGAAAGGCCCUGAGCGCAAAGGGUUAACACGCUGCCCCUGGAAUGACUGGGCUUUCCCUCGAUUGGUGCUGCCUUUCAGGCCCAGGCCUGCCUGAUGAUUCUUGGUGUAGGUUAAAGGACCAUGAAUUUGUGGCUCCUGAGUGCGUGGUAAUGAGCUCAGGCACCAAAAAUUGAGAACUGGUUAUACUUGGCUUCUCCAUCCAGGUUGAAAUAGCUCACCUGUAUUCUGAGUGGUGAAGAAAGGGCUUUGAGAACACUGGAUGCCUGAGGAUGGGCAGUAUAGCCUCCAAAAAAAAAAAGAAUCAGAAGCUGGUACUAACUAAAGAAUCUGUGAGACCGGGCACGGUGGCUCACGCCUGUAAUCCCAGCUACUUGUUAGACUAAAGCAGGAGAACUGCUUGAACCCGGGAGGCAGAGGUUGCAGUGAGCCAAGAUCGCACCAUUGCACUCUAGCCUGGGCGACAGAGCAAGACUCUGUCAAAAACAAAAAAAAAAAUCUGUGAGGCUCAAACAUGGGGGUGAGGGGUGAGAAUAGGGCACCAAAAGGACUGACAUCUAAAUAAUCUGUCAGUGACAAAAUGGCUUCCAACUAAUUAAACAUAGAAAAACCUCUUUUAGGGAAGAUAAUCCUAUUGGAUCUGCUUGCAAGAUUUUUCCAGCCAGCUUCUGCCUCUUGGAGCUUCAAUUAAAAGCUGUUUAGCAGAUGGCAAAUUCUGAGUUACAAAGUUAGACUCUUUGGCAACGAUAUGUGCUUUUGCUUUCCCAGGGGAUCCUGGCCACAUAUGGCCCUGGAAGAGGCGCGAGAGCUCUUUCUUGGCACACAGUAGAGAGCUCCUCUCCCAGCUUAACACACAGAUGACAGGCAUUUCAACAUAACCAUCAAGGGUGGUGAGCAAGAGGGGAGUUUUCAGUUAAUUCAGAAAUAUGGGGGCCCUGGAAAUCAUAAUAUAUCAGGGCUGGAAGGGAACUCAAACAGCGUCUACUACAACCCCUUCUUCAUACAGAACGAGGGCACUGAGCCUUGGAAGAGGUUAUGCAAUUUAUCUAAAGUUGCCCAGCAAGGGAGAAGCAGAGUCGGGAUCAGGCUUGU